UACGUAGGUGACAAGCGUUGUCCGGAUUUACUGGGCGUAAAGAGCGCGCAGGCGGUCGAUCAAGUCGAGUGUGAAAGCCCCCGGCUCAACUGGGGAGGGUCAUUCGAUACUGAUCGACUCGAAGGCAGGAGAGGGUAGUGGAAUUCCCGGUGUAGUGGUGAAAUGCGUAGAUAUCGGGAGGAACACCAGUGGCGAAGGCGGCCUGCUGGGCAGUGGCUGACACUGAGGCGCGACAGCGUGGGGAGCAAACAGG
rnacentral:rRNA from 1 species